GUGGGGAAUCUUGCGCAAUGGGCGAAAGCCUGACGCAGCCAUGCCGCGUGAAUGAUGAAGGUCUUAGGAUUGUAAAAUUCUUUCACCGGGGACGAUAAUGACGGUACCCGGAGAAGAAGCUCCGGCUAACUUCGUGCCAGCAGCCGCGGUAAUACGGAGGGUGCAAGCGUUAUCCGGAUUCUCUGGGCUUAAAGGUUGCGUAUGCGGAUAAAUAAGUCAGUGGUGAAAUCAACGGGCUCAACCUGUUAACUGCCAUUGAUACUGUGUAUCUUGAAUAUGAGAGAGGUAGGCGGAAUGUUGCAUGUAGCGGUGAAAUGCUUAGAUAUGCUACGGAACACCGAUUGCGAAGGCAGCUUACUAUUUCGUAAUUGACGCUGAGGCACGAAAGCGUGGGUAGCGAACAGGAUUAGAAACCCGAGUAGUCC
rnacentral:rRNA from 1 species